rnacentral:rRNA from 1 species
GAUGAACGCUGGCGGCGUGCCUAAUACAUGCAAGUCGAGCGAACAGACGAGGAGCUUGCUCCCCUGACGUUAGCGGCGGACGGGUGAGUAACACGUGGAUAACCUACCUAUAAGACUGGGAUAACUUCGGGAAACCGGAGCUAAUACCGGAUAAUAUAUUGAACCGCAUGGUUCAAUAGUGAAAGACGGUUUUGCUGUCACUUAUAGAUGGAUCCGCGCCGCAUUAGCUAGUUGGUAAGGUAACGGCUUACCAAGGCAACGAUGCGUAGCCGACCUGAGAGGGUGAUCGGCCACACUGGAACUGAGACACGGUCCAGACUCCUACGGUAGGCAGCAGUAGGGACUCUUCCGCAAUGGGCGAAAGCCUGACGGAGCAACGCCGCGUGAGUGAUGAAGGUCUUCGGAUCGUAAAACUCUGUUAUUAGGGAAGAACAAAUGUGUAAGUAACUAUGCACGUCUUGACGGUACCUAAUCAGAAAGCCACGGCUAACUACGUG